rnacentral:rRNA from 1 species
CCUACGGGUGGCAGCAGUGGGGAAUAUUGGACAAUGGGGGGAACCCUGAUCCAGCGACGCCGCGUGAGUGAAGAAGUAUUUCGGUAUGUAAAGCUCUAUCAGCAGGGAAGAAAGAAAUGACGGUACCUGACUAAGAAGCCCCGGCUAACUACAUGCCAGCAGCCGCGGUAAUACGUAGGGUGCAAGCGUUAUCCGGAUUUACUGGGUGUAAAGGGAGCGUAGACGGCGAUGCAAGUCUGAAGUGAAAGGCGGGGGCCCAACCCCCGGACUGCUUUGGAACCUGUAUGGCUGGAGUGCAGGGGAGGUAAGUGGAAUUCCUAGUGUAGCGGUGAAAUGCGUAGAUAUUAGGAGGAACACCAGUGGCGAAGGCGGCUUACUGGACUGUAACUGACGUUGAGGCUCGAAAGCGUGGGGAGCAAACAGGAUUAGAUACCCUUGUAGUC